rnacentral:rRNA from 1 species
GGCCUUUUGAAUUUAAUAUAAGGUCUGACCUGCCCAGUGAUGAUUUUAACGGCCGCGGUAUACUGACCGUGCAAAGGUAGCAUAAUCAUUAGUCUUUUAAUAGAGGGCUGGAAUGAAAGGUUUCACGAGGAACUGGCUGUCUCAUUUUAUUUGUUUUAAAAUUUAAUUUUUUAGUUAAAAAGCUAAAAUUUUAUUGGUAGACGAGAAGACCCUAUAGAGCUUUACAUAUGAUUAAAUAAAUAUUUUUAUAUUAAUAUUUUUAUUUAUUUUUGUGUUUUGUUGGGGUGACAAAAAUAUAUAACUAACUUUUUUAUUUACUUUACAUUGAUUUAUGAAUAUUGGAUCCAAUCUUAUUGAUUAUUAGACUAAGUUACCUUAGGGAUAACAGCGUAAUCCUCCUCCAGAGUUCAUAUUUACAGGAUGGGCUUGCGACCUCGAUGUUGGAUUAAGAUAAUAAUUGGGUGUAGCCGCUUAAUUGAUAGGUCUGUUCGACCUUUAAAUUCUU